AGGACGAACGCUGGCGGCGUGCUUAACACAUGCAAGUCGAGGGCGACUUUGGGGGCAACUCUGGAGUGACCGGCGAACGGGUGCGUAACACGUGAGCGACCUUGCCUCGUGGUGGGGGGAUAGCCGGCCCAACGGCCGGGUAAUACCGCAUAGGGUGGUUUUUCUUGCAUGGAGAGACCAGCAAAGCUGAGUUGCAAGACUUGGCGCCACAGGGGGGGCUCGCGGCCUAUCAGCGUAGUUGGGGGGGUAAUGGCCCACCAAGGCGACGACGGGUAGC
rnacentral:rRNA from 1 species